AGCGAACGCUGGCGGCAGGCCUAACACAUGCAAGUCGAACGGAUCCUUCGGGAUUAGUGGCGGACGGGUGAGUAACACGUGGGAACGUGCCCUUUGGUUCGGAACAACUCAGGGAAACUUGAGCUAAUACCGGAUGUGCCCUUCGGGGGAAAGAUUUAUCGCCAUUGGAGCGGCCCGCGUCUGAUUAGCUAGUUGGUGAGGUAACGGCCCACCAAGGCGACGAUCAGUAGCUGGUCUGAGAGGAUGAUCAGCCACACUGGGACUGAGACACGGCCCAGACCCCUACGGGAGGCAGCAGUGGGGAAUCUUGCGCAAUGGGCGAAAGCCUGACGCAGCCAUGCCGCGUGAAUGAUGAAGGUCUUAGGAUUGUAAAAUUCUUUCAGCGGGGACGAUAAUGACGGUACCCGCAGAAGAAGCGCCGGCUAACUUCGUG
rnacentral:rRNA from 1 species